rnacentral:rRNA from 1 species
GAUGAACGCUGGCGGCGCGCCUAACACAUGCAAGUCGAACGGUUAAAGCACCUUUUAGGUGUGUAUAAAGUGGCGAACGGCUGAGUAACACGUGGGCAACCUGCCCUCCUCUUGGGGAUAGCCUCGGGAAACCGAGGAUAAUACCCGAUACUUCAAUGUGGCCGCAUGACGACAUUGAGAAAGCUUUUGCGGAGAAGGAUGGGCCCGCGGCCUGUUAGCUUGUUGGUGGGGUAGAGGCCUACCAAGGCAAUGAUGGGUAGCUGGGUUGAGAGACCGACCAGCCAGAUUGGGACUGAGACACGGCCCAGACUCCUACGGGAGGCAGCAGUGGGGAAUCUUGCACAAUGGGCGAAAGCCUGAUGCAGCGACGCCGCGUGCGGGACGAAGGCCUUCGGGUUGUAAACCGCUUUCAGCAGGGACGAGGCGAAAGUGACGGUACCUGCAGAGGAAGCCCCGGCUAACUACGUGCCAGCAGCCGCGGUAAUACGUAGGGGGCAAGCGUUAUCCGGAUUCAUUGGGCGUAAAGCGCUCGUAGGCGGUCUGUUAGGUCGGGAGUUAAAUCCGGAGGCUCAACCUCCGCCCGCUCCCGAUACCGGCAGACUUGAGUUUGGUAGGGGAAGGUGGAAUUCCUAGUGUAGCGGUGGAAUGCGCAGAUAUUAGGAAGAACACCAGUGGCGAAGGCGGCCUUCUGGGCCAUAACUGACGCUGAGGAGCGAAAGCUAGGGGAGCAAACAGG